rnacentral:misc_RNA from 1 species
CUGCCCUCAAGCACGGCUUGUGUGUUGGGCCCCGCCCCCCCGUCCGGGGGGGCGGGCCCGAAAGGCAGCGGCGGCACCGCGUCCGGUCCUCGAGCGUAUGGGGCUUCGUCACCCGCUCUGUAGGCCCGGCCGGCGCCCGCCGGCGACCCCAAUCAAUCUUUCCA